UACGGAGGAUGCGAGCGUUAUCCGGAUUUAUUGGGCGUAAAGCGAGCGCAGGCGGUUGCUUAGGUCUGAUGUGAAAGCCUUCGGCUUAACCGAAGAAGUGCAUCGGAAACCGGGCAACUUGAGUGCAGAAGAGGACAGUGGAACUCCAUGUGUAGCGGUGGAAUGCGUAGAUAUAUGGAAGAACACCAGUGGCGAAGGCGGCCUGCUGGACGGUGACUGACGCUGAGGCUCGAAAGCGUGGGGAGCAAACAGG
rnacentral:rRNA from 1 species